ACUUCUCAGCAUCGCCGUCUCUGAGGGCAGGAGUGAUCUGGAGCCCUCCCCAAGCCCACAGGUAGUCGGGCGGCAUGUGCGGGCCUGGGGGGCCCCACUGGGGUCUUCUCUCCUCUUCCCCGGCCCCUCCCCGAGGCCAGGACAAGUCCUGCCUGCCCUGAACGGGGGCGGCUGAGCCCAGGUUGGGGUGGUGGUGAGACAGGGAGACUGGGGAGCUGGGCACCCUGAUGGGGGUUCUGGGCCUGCCACUCAUCAGCCUGGAGGUCCGGGGCUUUUCCCCAACCCCCUGUGCACGGAAAGGUUUAGGGGCCAUGCCCCAGGUGGCCACAGCGACGGGAAGCUCCCUGGCUGCCUCAAAGGGCUGUUCUGUGGGGGGACCUGGUCCAGGAUGAUGGAGGGGAGGCAGCAACUGGACUUUUCCCCUUGCAGCUGUAAGGAUAGCUUGAUUUUUCUAAGGACAACAACCCUGUGUCUCCCCACUGAGUUACAAGCCCGCAGGUGGCUUGAUGAACAUGUGGUUUCUGGAUGUGACAUGAAAGUUAGCAUUUGCGCGCUCUUUGGUUUCCCUGGGUUUGUUUUUCUUGCUCUUACAGUCCUGAACUAUUCCCAAUCGUGUUUAUGUUGAGGCAGAAGACAUGGCUGUGGAGUGUCGGUGCACCAGGGUCUGCCGGGUCCCCGCCUCCCCAUCCUUCCAAGAGGCACCAGCUGCAAGGCACGUGCAUGUGCCCUCCUGACCCCCCGGUCCCCAAAGAGCCUGCUCCCGUCACUCCAGGCAGGCACUGUUGCUGGGAUUUCAAGGCAGCUGAGUGCAGAGCCCACUGCAGAGGCAUCAGCCCCUCCCAGGCCUCUAGGAAACCUGCUCCUCCCCUCCCUCCACAGGCAUCUGCUUACAGCGCCAGCGGUGCCUCGUGCUCCACCUGGAGCACCACUGUCUGUCAGGGACACGGGCUCCCAGAGGGCUGCACGUGAAUGAUUUCCGACCCUCACAACAGCCAGGAAGUAGGGACUGGGAUUGUUCCCAUUCUGUAGAUGAGAAGACUGAGGCUUGGGAUAACGUGCUUGCCCAAGUUGGCAUGGGCAGUACAAGACAAAGCUGGGGUUGCAAAUGAUCACGCUUCCUAUUCUGAAUAUUUCUUUUUCUGCCACCUUCUCCUCUGAGUGCUGGCUUUCCCUACUUACCAAGCCCCCAGCUGCUCACUGCGGUGCCAGAGCACCCAAGAGCCUCCUCUGGCAGUGCCAUGGCCCACAGCACACUCCCCUUGGCUCUAUCAGGCCUCCCUUUUGGCUUGAGUGCCACCCACUCACUCCUCUCCUGCUUUCUGGCAUCGUUAUUUAAUUGUCCAACCCUGGUCUGCUCAGUUAGACCGUAAACUCUGAGAGGACGAGGAGUCUUCGCCGGCUGCCCCCCGGGCCUGGCCUGGGGCUGCCACGUAGCUGAAUCUCAGCCACACUUGCUGUAGAAUGAUUUGUUAUUAUUCUCUGAGGCUGGGUUUCCACGUGGCUGGGCACAGGAGGACAGAGUCCCCCUCCCCGUCCAGGUCCUUGGCUGGCCAGCAUUUCAAAUGAUAUUGUUUCAUAUUAAAUUAUUUUAAAUUCCAUGGACCCUGGUUUCACAAUCAAAUAAUUCGAUCUUGUUUACAAAUGGAAUUUUUAGUUUUUGACGGUUUCUUGCUUUGCUGGGCUGGACGGUCAGUGAAUGCGUGUCCUCCCGUGCCCUCCAGUCCAUCUCUGUUGCCUUCCCCGGGAUGCCGUGGAGGCCGGGAACCGUCCCCAGGAGUGGGGACGUGGUCAGGAGGGUGGGGUCAGGCAGCCCUGUGCAGGCAGACAGCUCACAGUGCUCGGGGCCUGGAGGCGGGGGCGUUCUCUGCUUGCCCUCUUCCAGCUCUAGACAUGAGAAAACCCACAAAGAACAGAAUUGGAAGGGAUCUUUGACACACGUGAUUCCAACAUCCCCUUUUACAGUUAGGAAACUGAGGCACAAGAUCCUGGUUCUUGGGGUUGGGCCUUGGACCCAGCACUGGGUCUUUGCACAGCCUCCUCAGGACUGAUCCACACUUUGUUCUCUUCCCCACCAACCCCAUCACUUCCCGUUAGGUGCCACUUACUGCUUUCACCUACCGAGACAGAGAGAGGGAAAAGUGUGACCUCUGACCUCUAGGAGCUAGGAACCCAGUGUUGGGAGGGGAGCUGCGGAGGAGGAGACAAAGGAGGCACAAUGAGGUGGACCCUACGGGGUUGGGAGGAGCUUGGAAGGCAGUUCAGAAAGGACACGUAGGAGAAGGCAGGGUGGGACUGUGGGACAGCAGGCCGGGCGCAUCCAGCGGCGUUUGCAAAGCCGGAGAAGUGGCCAAGCUCAGUGGCUGUGGCCAGAUGCCAUUUGUGGCAGUUGAUGAGAAUCUUGUGACUAUUUUAACCGAUGUGUUAAACUUCACUCUCCCCCUGUCAGUCUCCUUGUCACCUUGGAGAAUGUUAUUAGUCAAGGUUCUCCAGAGAAACAGAACCAACAGAAUGUACACACAUGCACACACAUACACAUGCACACACACACACAUACACACGCACACACACACACACACAAACAGGGAUUUAUUGUAAAGAACUGGCUCCUGGAAUAACUGAAUUGAUAAGUCCCAAGAUUUUCAGUCAGCAAGCUGGAGACCCAGAAGAGGCUACUAGGGACUAGACAUGUCCCCCCAAAAUUCAUAUGGUGGACCCCAACCUCCAAUGUGAUGGUCUUAGGAGGUGGGGUGUUUUGAAGGUGAUUAGGUCAGGAGGGUGGAGCGCUAAUGAACGAAAUUAGUGCCCUUAUAAGAAGAGACAGGGCAGCUCUCUCUCUCUGAUCUCUGUCACAUUAGGACGUAGAGAGAGGAAGGCCAGCAGUAAGUGGGCCCUCACCAAAAUCAAAUUGGCAGCACCGUGGUGCUGGACUUCCAGCCUCCUGAAUGGUGGGAAAUGAAUAUUUGAUGCUUAAGCCACACAGUCUACAGCAGCCCGAGCUUAGACAGAGCGGACGUUUCAGUUCAAGUCCAAAGGCAGGAAAAAGCUAGACAUUCAGCUCAAAGGCUGGCAGGCAAGAGGAAUUCUAUCUUACUCAGGGGACGGGACCCCCUUUGUCCUAUUCAGGCUGUCAACUGAUUGGAUGAGGCCCACCCAUAUUAGGGAGGGGAAACUGCUUUACCUGGCCCACUGAUUCCAAUGUGAGUCUCAUCCCCAAGCCCCUCACAGAAACACCCAGAGUGAUGUCUGGUCAAAUAUCUGGGCGCUGUGGCCCCGCCAAGUUGACACUGAAAUUAACCCUCGCAGAGGCCGCCUCUUUAUCACGGGACACAUGCUUGGAGCCCCUCUUCUGGAACUUUCUCUAAGCGAGUGACAGUAUGGGGCAGAUGGGUGUCAUUGCUCUGUGGUCACUUGAUGGGUGACCUGGGUUGGCCCUGUGUACCUACCCACUGGGCUUGGCUCAGAAUGGCAUCCUGCUGUUUCCACAAGUCAGCUGGCUCUCCAGGGUCAGGAUGGAACCUGCUGAGGAGAUCACAGAUGGCCCUGACUCCACACGCUGCCCCAGAGGGCCCCAAGGCAGGCAUCUGAGCCAGCCCCGGCUGCAGAGGUUGACUCAGGAAAGCACCAGGGAAAGUUGGUUGUUAAUAUCCCAGUCCAAUUUUUUUUGACUGGGCCUAAAGGCAGGGACUUCCUUCUAUAAAAUCUGGGAGCUGAGUGCAGGGCAGGCCUGACAAGGCGUGAGGAGCUGCCUGUGGACUUCGGCUCUCCCAGUGAGUCCAGGAGCUGCCCUGGGCCCUGGCGGCCCCUCCUCAUCCCCACCUCUCUGCUGCACCACUAUGGCCUCAAGGUCCCUGCACUGCCUCAUAAAGCUGUCCCCAAGUCAGGCUCCUGUGAGCGCGCCGGGCAUCAGAACUCUGGCUGGUGGACCCACAGAGGCCCGGGGUAAUAGCCAUGAGAAGAACAGGCCACCACGCUCAGACUGGGAAGCACCCAGCCUGCGGGAUGGCCAGAGACACUCAUCCAGGGCCAUGAGAGUGUGAAUCAGUCGAGUACAAUAUGCAUAACCAGUGUGGCCAGAACCGGUGCUUUGAGGUGUCUAACUCCUGGUGUCCUACCAUCCCAACACUGUUGAUUAAUGGCGAAAGAUGGGGCAUUGGGGAGGUCUGUGUCUAUGCUUGGUGGCACCUAAGAAAGAGCAAGGCAUUUAUCUGCAUGGAUUGAGAUAGACAGGUCUCUAAAAUAAACAAGGCAAAGAACGCAAGAGGCUGAACCAAAGUAUGAUCCAUUUGGGGCUUAACAAAUAGAUAGUAUAGGCAGCGCGGUGGCUCACGCCUGUAAUCCCAGCACCUUGGGAGGCUGAGGUGGGCAGAUCACCUGAGGUUGGGAGUUCCAGACCAGCCUGAGCAAUAUGGUGAAACCCUGUCUUUACUAAAAAUACAAAAAUUAGCUGGGCAUGGUGGUGCACGCCUGUAAUCCCAGCUACUCAGGAGGCUGAGGCGGGAGAAUCGCUUGAACCCGGGAGGUGGAGGUUGCAGUGAGCUGAGAUCAUGCCACUGCACUCCAGCCUGGGUGACAGAGGGAGACCCUGUCUCAAAAAAAAAAAAAAAAAAUAGAUGGGGUAGAUGCUUUUGGAAGAAUAUGCAGUCACUGCUCACACCAGCAUGGAACAAGUGGACUGGGGUUACUGCCUGGCGAGUCUCUUUCAGGUCCCUGAAUGCAGUUAACUCAGCGAGUCCUGAGUUCCCCAGGAGGUGGGCAUUCCCAUCUUACCCACGUUGCAGAUGAAGACACUGAGGUAUUGGGAGAACCUGCCCAGGUGAUACAGGUAGUAUGUGGCGGUUGGGGGAUGUGAACUUGAGCUCCUGACCAACUCUGCUGCAUGGGCUGACAACUCCGGCUUCUCCGGGAGAGGGGCAGGGGCUGAGGUGGGGCUUUUUUGUUUUUGUUUUUGGCCUUUCUGAGUCCUCUGUGCUUUCUUCCCAGGUGCAUAGAUGACUUACUUUCAGAAAAUGUCAACAGGGUGCUCUGCAGAGGGGCAUGGGCUUUUAUGCCUUUAUUAUGCUUUUCUGUAUUAAAAGAAAAAUACAGUCAUGUGAUUUUAGAAACUCAACCCAUGGAAGAGAGAAUACUGGGUCUGUAGGAAAUCUGCAAAGUGGGAAAGAUACUUCUGGGCUUGGUGGUGGCACCUUGGAGCCUGCUUACGGAAAUCACCUCUCGUUCCCGUGAUGCUGAAAGCAGAAUGCUGGACAUGGAAGAACCGCGGUACUCGAGCUUCGUCUGCUGCCCCACACCCCACUGGCUGUUGCAAGAGUGACGUUGCCAUUGGUGACUGCAGGUCUCCCAGCAGCCUGGUGCAGAGAGGCCACUUCAGGCUCGAACAGAGGCCCGGGUUUCCACGGGAGACAGCAGAGCCACGGUGUAGCAGGCAUCCAGCUCUCCCCCGAUCAGUUCCGUGACUUGUCGGAAGGCCCUCCCUCCCGGUAGGCCUCGGUUUCCUCAUCUGUGAAACAAUGGGAGUGACCUGGAGGGCCUCUGCCAGUCUCACUCAGUCUAAGCCCUUGAGACGGAGGCAGACACGGUCAGCCUGUAAGCCCCUGGCCUUGCUCUUGCUUCAGGUCAGACGAAGAAAGGACUGGUGGCCUCUGGGGAUCCUGAGCCUGUCUCCAUGGGAACCAGCUCACCCACCCCCUCUCUGGCAAGUGUCCUAGUGGGAGCCAUGGGAAACCAUGGGCUCCAGCCCCUGGCCGCUGACUGGUUGGCGGCCUUCCGUUUUGAGAUCCCUGGCCCAGGGUAAUGGAGGGGACCUCAUCUUACAGAAGACACAGCGAGGGUGUGGAGAGGCUGUGGGGGAAGCACAGCCUGGCCGGCAGCUGCUGGGUGUCCUGGCUUGAGCUCAGGGCACCUUUGUCCCAGGGUGGGACCCUCAGGUCUCAGGGGCUGCUCCAUCCCCGUUGAGGGCUCCCUUCAUUCUUGAUGUCUGUCCACUCACAGAGGGGGCGUCAUGCCUCUCCAAAGACCCCCACAUUCCAGUCCUUGUGUCCCUGAGGUCGGCCUCCUGGCGGCCACCUCACAGGGAAGGCCCUGGACACAGGGCCCUGGCCUAAUGCAGCAUGGCUUCAUCUUAACUAGUUACGUGUGCAAAGACCCUGUCUCCAAACAAGGUCAUAUUUUGGGCUUCUGAGUGGAAGUUGGUUUGGGGGACACUCAUCAACCCAGCACAAUGCUCCCCCUCACCAUGUUCGUUGAAGAGAAGACUCUUGGACACCUGGAGGCCACCAGUCCUUUCUGGAUCCCCAGAGGCCACCAGUACUUUCUUCCUCUGACCUGAAACAAGAGCUAGCAGGGGCUGGCAGGCCGACUGCGUCUGCUGCCAUUUUGAGUACUGGCCCCAGCCGCAAUGCCCAGGACUGAGUCAUGGAGAUUCCCUCAGAAAUGGUGCAACCCAGUCUGUCCACAGAGUGAGGGGCGACAAGCCUGGUGGCCCCGGCUUCAGUGCAGGCCAUCCUUUCCACCUAUUGUCUCCUUUUGGUCUCAUGGGGACCCGGUUCUUGUCCUCUGCCCUGUAGCAUGGCUACGACCCUCAUGGGCCACAAACUUGAUGCCCUCAGGCGGCUAGACUCUACCCCAGAUCCGGGGCUGGCAGCGGCAUGGAUGUGGUCAACUGGCAUGCAGUUGUUACCCAGACACCCUCCCAUCAGCACUUUUUUAGGGGGUGAGUGACAGAAACUCAACUUGGGCUUAAAGGUGAAUUUACUGGUUCCUGUGAUGACAGAGUUCAAGGUUCAGCUGGACCUGGUGCCUCCAAUGACGUCACCAAGUCUGUCUGUCCAUCUGUCUGAGUUCAGCUUCCUCCAGGUCUUCGUUCUCCAGCAGGCCUUCUCCUCAAAGUGGCCAGGUGACUGUCAGCUCUAUGGUUCAUUCUACCAGUUUAUGAAUCUCCCCUCCUCAUGUUGCUCAAAUUCAGCUGUGAGUAAACUCCCAAGCUGAUUGCAGCGUCCAAAGGGAGGGCACUGGUCCCAUGUGCAGCCGGCAACUCUAUGGGUUCAGCUCCACCCAAACUAUAUAGACCACAGCAGGGAAGGAAAGCCAGGGAUGCUAGGAUGGCCAGCACCACUGCAGAAGCCUAUUGAUCCCGUGCAAAAUAGCUCCAGUAAAAGGAGGGCUUUGGGGCCCGGUGUGUUGGCACACACCUGUAAUCCCAGCACUUUGGGAGGCCAAGGCAUGUGGAUCACUUGAGGUCAAAAGUUCUUGACCAGCCUGAUUAACAUGGUGAAACUCCGUCUCUAUUAAAUACAAAAAAAUUAGCCAGGAGUGGUGGUGCAUGACUGUUAUCUGAGCUACUUGGGAGGCUGAGACAGGGGAAUUGCUUGUACCCGGAGGCGGAGGUUGCAGUGAGCUGAGAUCACACCAUUGUACUCCAGCAUGGGCAACAAGAGCAAAACUCUGUCUCAAAAAAAAAAAAAAAAAGGAGAGCUUUGGUCUACAGAAAGUCAGGCACCAUCACAGCAUCAUAGGGACAGGGAUACAGGAUGCAGGUCCCCGUUACAUCCAGGGCUCCAUCCCUCUUCUCUCCAUCCUCCCCAUAGGCUUUUCCUACAGGCCUUUGGUUUUCCCCGGAUGUUGGCUUGCCCCUAUACCAGCACUGCCAUGGAUGUUGGCUUGCCCCUAUACCAGCACUGCCACGGAUGUUGGCUUGCCCCUAUACCAGCACUGCUCUGGAUGUAGGCUUGUCCCUACAAGAUCACUGGCCCGACUUGUCACUCCAGGGACAAUGUGUCCACCCUUGGCCUAGCUAGUCAGAAACUUUUGUCUUCGUGUCAUCGUGUCCAAUCAAGAUGUCCAAGAUCCUUCUCUCUUUAGAGAGCAUGGGGAGGAGGGGCAUUGUGCUGGGUUGAUGACUGUCCCCCAAAUCCACUUCCACUCAGAAGCUCAAAAUAUGACCUUAUUUGGAGACAGGGUCUUUGCAGAUGUAAUUAGUUAAGAUGAAGUCACGCUGCAUUAGGGUGGGCCCUAGACCCAAGGCCUAGACCCAAGGACUGGCGAUCUUAUAAAAAGAGGAGUGGACACAGAGACAGAUGCAGAGGGAGGGCAGCCACGGAAAGACAAAGGCAGAGAGUGGAUGAUGCAGCCGCAAGCCAUCGGAUGUCCAGGGCCACCAGGAGCUGAGGAGGUGAGGAAGGGCACCCCCAGGAACCUUCAGAGGGAGCACGACACUGUCGACACCUUGACUUUAGACUUCUGGGCUCCAGAUCAGCAAGGGAGUAGAUUUCUGCUCCUUUAAGCAUUUUAUGGGUCUCUGCUGCAGGAGCUCAAGGAAACUCAUUCAGGUAUUUAGGACGGUUGUGCUGGGUGGAGACGGACCACACACCGUCUCUGGGCUGAAGGGGCGGGCACCAGGAGCAGGUCCUCAGUCGACCGCAUCUUGGCACUUAGCUUUGGUGACUCCCCCUGGUGCUGCUGAUGUCCUACCGUGGCCUCUAGGGGACUCAGGGUCCUGCACCCCACCCCUGCUCCCUUCCUGCCCUGGCCUCGUCUCACCUCUGCAGUAGCAAGACUUUCUGCAGCCUGAAUCUAGAUUCUCUGCCGCCUCUUGGUUCUUCUCCUUCAAUGUGGGCUCACCAAGGGCCAUGAGGGUCCCCAGGACUGCAAGGGCACACAGAAAACCCACAGAUUCAUACACUGAGAUAUCGCUCUCCUCGUCGACAGGACCUCAAGCCUCCAGGCCCAGCUCAGUCUAAUUCAAUCUCUGUGUCUUUGCUCAAACUCUUGCAAGGAAAUCUGACCACCUUGGCCUGGCUGGGGGCAUCCAGCGCUAUCCCUGGGGUGUGGCCUGAAACCCUUCCUUCCUCGGUAGGACUCAGUCAACCAGGGUUAAGAAAAGGGCACAUUCCUUGGAGAAGCAUGAGGAGAUAAUGCUUCUGAGGACGCUCAUGUAUGUGAACGCUCAAUGCAGACAUAUGGAAAUUAUGUCGUCUACAUUUACCCCCAUCCCUCUAGGGUGGGUGUCAUCAGAUUCCCGUCCCAGUUUGCAGCUGGAGCCUCGGGGCUUGGAUUAAGUGCUUGCCAGUGCUGGUAGAGAAGCCUGUCACCUCCCACCACUCUCAGCACUUGUCCACUUGCCAAGGUCUCAUGGCAAGUAAGUCCUGGCCACCUUGGUCGCCUCUUAGACGAAGUGGCUUGGACUAGAUGCCCUCCUCCGAGGUGAAUCUUGAGCUGAAGCUUCGGUGUGUGCCUGGAGCAUGUGGCUGGGGUGUUCAGCAAACCCUGGGCAGGGAGGACAGGCCAGCCAGACCUCGGGCCCCCAACUGGGCAUCUGCCUCCAUAGGGCAUUCAUCCACUUUGGGGGUCUUUGUGUCCCUAAAAGAGUCUGAAUAUGAAUCCACACUCAAGCAAAACCAUUAAGGAGAUCAAAGCAGCCGCAAUGACACUGGAGGAGGCUCAUGCUCCUGGGAAACCUCAGAGUAAGACGCAUGGGGGAGGUGCUGGCUUAAGGGUCAUGACUGAGGUGAGAGGCUGAGGGCAAUGGACAGAAAGCAGCAUGCAACCAAGUUCAGGUGGCAGGGAAAACAGAGAGCAAGGAGGAAGCAAAACUGUGAGCAAAACAGGCCUUGAGGGGCCAAACAGUCAGCCACAGAUGCCAGGCUCCUGCCCGACCUGCCCCGACCCUGCCUCUCAGAGGGCACCUGCCAUCCUCUGUGCACCCCACCUGUCCUGUCCCAUCUGUGCAGGGCCCCGUCUAUCGCCCCUGAAGGGUCAGGUGCUCCUCACUGGAAGGUAGGAACUGGGCUUCACCAUCUGGACUGUGCAAGGCCUGCCUGGUCAUGAGAGCAAAGAGUUUUCUAGAAGGCUGGCUUGCACACAUAAGUGAAGAACUGCCCCCCAGAAGUAAUGCUUAGGCAAAGAAGGUGGGCAGUGGUGGUGGUCACAGAUGCUGGGGGUGAGCCAUAGGCCUGAGCCAUCCAUUGUGGGGGUCUGAAAGCCCAAGUCUGUGGCUCCCACACACAGAGAUAGACAGUUCCUAGAGAACACCAGAGUCUAGGCCCCAGGGGCUGGGCGUGCCUCAGAGGGCGCCCCAUGCCAGCUUAAAGGCAGCUGGGAAUGCAGCAAUUGAUCAGUGGGUGCUGGGCAGCUCACACCCCCGUGCGGACAGUCUUCUCCAUGGGCCGAGAAGUGUGUCACAUGCAUGCAGGUGCAUAUGCAUGGGGACAUGGGGGCCCAGGAGUCUUCCUACUGCAGAGUUCAAAGAUGCGGGCUGAAGGCAGUUUGGAGAGCGUCCCCUGCCUGUGCUUCUCUUUUAACUCCAGGACCUGAGCCUCUGCUGGGUGGCGGGUGGACGCUGCUCCCAGUCUCCCAUGCAAGGGGCCCCAGAGGGAGGAAAAUGGCAGGAUGGGACAGAGGGACCACGUGAGAGCAGCUUUGGGAUAAAGCUGCCAGAUACACAAAGCAAUAAACAAAAGGGAAAAAGGAAACGGGACUCAACACAAUUCACAAGUCACAAGGUGGUUGGCUCCAAGGAGCAGGUCCCUGGCUCAGCGGGUCCACUGGGGCUCUCUGGGCAGAGGGGCCUGGUGUUUGAGGUCCCCUCCAGAACCUUCACGCUGAGUGGCAAUGACAUUCCAUAGCCUUGAGGGGCAGGGGCGCAAGGCUCAGCACCCUGGGGCUCUGGGGUGGAGGAGGAGGAUGAUCCGGACUGGGGAGGCAGAAAUGGCCCUCCGUUCUUUUCUGUUUCUUCUCACGCCUCCAGCCCCUUGCUGCAGCCACACUGGCCUCAGUUACACUGGCUCCUUCCUGCUCCUCAUCUGUACAGGGCCAGGUCCUGAAUUAGGGGGGCCUUUGUACAUACAGGCACCAGAACAUUCUUCCAGAGCUUCACUGGAGCCUUCCUCUUCAGCAUGACCGUCCCUGGCCACCUGAUCCAGAGCUGGCGGCUCCCAGGCAUAGCCCAUCCCUGCUGCGGCUCUGCACUGCCCCAGUCCUCACCUGCAUGCAGGGGACUAUUCACAUGCUGACCGUCUGUCCAUCUCCCGUAAGAACGUCGGCUCCUUCCACGUCUGCUGGGCGUGGAGGAUCCCUCACAGCCUCCCCGACCUCAGAGCCAUGAGAGACUUGCAAAGCUUGAAACAAACUCUGAAAGGACUCUUCACAGAUAAAUUCCUCCAGGUGCAUGUUUCAAACAAUUUUAUUAUCUAACCCAAGAGUAAGUUAGCAAUCGAUUUCCUAAUCUUUAUUGAUUGGCAGUGGGCAGGCUAGUGUGAUUAAAGAUGUGAGAGAGACUUGCCAAAUAAAAUGCAUGAGCAGCCUUCAUGAGCUUAGCUCCAAUGUGCAGAGUGAUAGGGUCAGGGAAGUGUGUGUAUGUGUGCAUGAUUGUGUGAGAUCAGGGUAGUGUGUGUGUGUGUGUGUGUGUGUGACAUCAGGGCAGUGGGUGUGUGAGAGAGAUCAGGGCAGUGUGUAUGUGUAUGUGUGAGAUCAGGGCAGUGUGCGUGUGUGUGUGUGUGUGACAUCAGGGCAGUGUGUCUGUGUGCAUGAGUGUGUGAGAUCAGGGCAGUGUGUGUGCAUGAGUGUGAUAUCAGGGCAGUAUGUGUGUGUCUGUGUGUGUGUGUAUGAUAUCAGGGCAGUGUGUGUGUGUCUGUGUGUGAGGUUAGGGCAGUGUGUGUUUGUGUGCAUGAGUGUGUGAGAUCAGGACAGUAUGUGAGAGAGAGAGAUCAGGGCAAAGGGCAGUGUUUGUGUGAGAUUAGGGCAGAGUGUGUGUGUGUGUGUAUGAGAUCAGGGCAGUGUGUGUGUGUGUGCAUGAGUGUGUGAGAUCAGGGUAGUGUGUGUGUGUGACAUCAGGGCAGUGUUUGUGUGUUUGUGUGAGAUCAGGGCAGUGUGUGUGUGUGCACGAGUGUGUGAGAUCACGGAAGUGUGUGUGUCAGGUCACCACAGUGUAUGUGCGGGUAUGCGUGUGUGUGUGCACAGGGAACACACGGACAGCCAUUCCAAGUACACACUCUCCUUGGGUAAAUCUGUGAGUAAUCAUUGCUCCAGCAGUGAGAGCCCGUGAGGGUGGUGCAGGAAGACUGUGGCCUGCCUCCUGAGGGAAGCAUUAAAA
rnacentral:lncRNA from 1 species